rnacentral:rRNA from 1 species
AUUGAACGCUGGCGGCAGGCCCAACACAUGCAAGUCGAGCGGUUGACGGGAGCUUGCUCCCUGAUUCAGCGGCGGACAGGUGAGUAAUGCCUAGGAAUCUGCCUAUUAGUGGGGGACAACGUUUCGAAAGGAACGCUAAUACCGCAUACGUCCUACGGGAGAAAGCAGGGGACCUUCGGGCCUUGCGCUAAUAGAUGAGCCUAGGUCGGAUUAGCUUGUUGGUGAGGUAAUGGCUCACCAAGGCGACGAUCCGUAACUGGUCUGAGAGGAUGAUCAGUCACACUGGAACAGAGACACGGUCCAGACUCCUACGGGAGGCAGCAGUGGGGAAUAUUGGACAAUGGGCGAAAGCCUGAUCCAGCCAUGCCGCGUGUGUGAAGAAAGUCUUCGGAUUGUAAAGCACUUUAAGUUGGGAGGAAGGGUUGUAGAUUAAUACUCUGCAAUUUUGACGUUACCGACAGAAUAAGCACCGGCUAACUCUGUGCCAGCCGCCGCGGUAA